rnacentral:rRNA from 1 species
AUUGAACGCUAGCGGGAUGCCUUACACAUGCAAGUCGAACGGAGUGGCGAACGGGUGAGGAAUGUAUCGGAACGUGCCCAGUAGCGGGGGAUAACUACGCGAAAGCGUAGCAAAUACCGCAUACGCGUGGAGAGGACGAGAUGGGAUUAGCUAGUUGGUGGGGUAAAGGCUCACCAAGGCGACGAUCCGUAGCUGGUUUGAGAGGACGACCAGCCACCCUGGGACUGAUACACGGCCCAGACUCCUACGUGAGGCAGCAGUGGGGAAUUUUGGACAAUGGGGGCAACCCUGAUCCAGCCAUCCCGCGUGUGCGAUGAAGGCCUUCGGGUUGUAAAGCACUUUUGUCAGGAAAGCGGUACCUGCAGAAUAAGCACCGGCUAACUACGUGCCAGCAGCCGCGGUAAUAC